GUCCCAGUGGCCUAAUGGAUAAGGCAUUGGCCUACUAAGCCAGGGAUUGUGGGUUCGAGUCCCAUCAUGGGAUG